rnacentral:rRNA from 1 species
UACGUAGGGGGCAAGCGUUGUCCGGAAUCAUUGGGCGUAAAGCGCGCGUAGGCGGCCCGGUAAGUCCGACUGUAAAAGUCCAGGGCUCAACCCUGGAAAGCCGGUAGAUACUGUCGGGCUAGAGUCCGGAAGAGGCGAGUGGAAUUCCUGGUGUAUCGGUGGAAUGCGCAGAUAUCAGGAGGAACACCGAUGGCGAAGGCAGCUCGCUGGGACGGUGACUGACGCUGAGACGCAAAAGCGUGGGGAGCGAACAGG